GUCUUCGUGGCUCAGUUGGUUAGAGCGUUGGUCUCAUAUUCUUUCUUAUAUGAGGUGGUUGUCAACAUCCACUUUAGCCAUCCAAAGGUCGAGAGUUCGAGUCUCUCCGAGGACA
rnacentral:tRNA from 1 species